UACAACUGACUAGGUAUCCCCCUUUACAACUGACUAGGUAUCCCCCUUUACAACUGACUAGGUAUCCCCCUUUACAACUGACUAGGUAUCCCCCUUUACAACUGACUAGGUAUCCCCCUUUACAACUGACUAGGUAUCCCCCUUUACAACUGACUAGGUAUCCCCCUUUACAACUGACUAGGUAUCCCCCUUUACAACUGACUAGGUAUCCCCCUUUACAACUGACUAGGUAUCCCCCUUUACAACUGACUAGGUAUCCCCCUUUACAACUGACUAGGUAUCCCCCUUUACAACUGACUAGGUAUCCCCCUUUACAACUGACUAGGUAUCCCCCUUUACAACUGACUAGGUAUCCCCCUUUACAACUGACUAGGUAUCCCCCUUUACAACUGACUAGGUAUCCCCCUUUACAACUGACUAGGUAUCCCAUUACAACUGACUUGGUAUACCCCUUUACAACUGAUUAGUUAUCCCCCUAUACAACUGACUAGGUAUCCCCCUUUCCCUAUACAACUGAUUAGUUAU